rfam:Tyto alba contig28451, whole genome shotgun sequence.
CCUCAGGUUUUAUUAAAAACCAUGAAUAAACUAGACUCAGAAUUUU